UAGGGAAUCUUCGGCAAUGGGGGGAACCCUGACCGAGCAACGCCGCGUGAGUGAAGAAGGUUUUCGGAUCGUAAAGCUCUGUUGUUAAGGAAGAACGAGUGUGAGAAUGGAAAGUUCAUGCUGUGACGGUACUUAACCAGAAAGGGACGGCUAACUACGUGCCAGCAGCCGCGGUAAUACGUAGGUCCCGAGCGUUGUCCGGAUUUAUUGGGCGUAAAGCGAGCGCAGGCGGUUAGAUAAGUCUGAAGUUAAAGGCAGUGGCUCAACCAUUGUAGGCUUUGGAAACUGUUUAACUUGAGUGCAGAAGGGGAGAGUGGAAUUCCAUGUGUAGCGGUGAAAUGCGUAGAUAUAUGGAGGAACACCGGUGGCGAAAGCGGCUCUCUGGUCUGUAACUGACGCUGAUGUGCGAAAGCGUGGGAAUCAAACAGG
rnacentral:rRNA from 1 species